rnacentral:rRNA from 1 species
ACGGAGGAGCUUGCUCCCCCUGAUCAGUGGCGAACGGGUGAGUAACACGUGAGUAACCUGCCCCAGACUCUGGGAUAACAUCGGGAAACCGGUGCUAAUACCGGAUAUGAGACGAGACUGCAUGGUCAUCGUCUGGAAAGAUUUAUCGGUCUGGGAUGGACUCGCGGCCUAUCAGCUAGUUGGUGAGGUAAUGGCUCACCAAGGCGACGACGGGUAGCCGGCCUGAGAGGGCGACCGGCCACACUGGAACUGAGACACGGUCCAGACUCCUACGGGAGGCAGCAGUGGGGAAUAUUGCACAAUGGGCGCAAGCCUGAUGCAGCAACGCCGCGUGGGGGAUGAAGGCCUUCGGGUUGUAAACCCCUUUUAGCAGGGAAGAAGCGAAAGUGACGGUACCUGCAGAAAAAGCGCCGGCUAACUACGUGCCAGCAGCCGCGGUAAUGCGUAGGGCGCAAGCGUUGUCCGGAAUUAUUGGGCGUAAAGAGCUCGUAGGCGGUUUGUCGCGUCUGCUGUGAAAGUCCGAGGCUCAACCUCGGAUCUGCAGUGGGUACGGGCAGACUAGAGUGUGGUAGGGGAGACUGGAAUUCCUGGUGUAGCGGUGGAAUGCGCAGAUAUCAGGAGGAACACCAAUGGCGAAGGCAGGUCUCUGGGCCAUAACUGACGCUGAGGAGCGAAAGCGUGGGGAGCGAACAGGAUUAGAUACCCUGGUAGUCCACGCCGUANACGGUGGGCACUAGAUGUGGGGCUCUUUCNAUGAGUUCCGCGUCGCAGCUAACGCAUUAAGUGCCCCGCCUGGGGAGUACGGCCGCAAGGCUAAAACUCAAA